CCUUCGCGACGCCGACGCCCGCAUGACGCCCGACGGGCCGUGAGGCCGCGGGCUCAAGACGGGCACGGCGGUCGUUCGCGUCGAGGGACAACGUACGUUGCUCGGGCGCACGGAGCCUGUGAUGACAGACCCCACGCCCGCGCGUAACGUUCCGCAUCCGAGAGAACGGGCAGUGCACACCGUGGGCCGAGGCAGCCGAGCGAGGCUUGCCGGGAACACGGGGUGUGCCUCAUGUCCGCCCCGCAACCCGCGAGGGCCGGGGGCGGAGAGGGACGAACGAGACCGUCGGAUUCCUUUCGAAAGGUAAGCAACACAGGAUACCGAAA
rnacentral:misc_RNA from 1 species